rnacentral:rRNA from 1 species
ACACGUAUGAAAGACAAGCUGAAAGACUUUUCUCAAUGAUGUAAGUGGUGGUGCAUGGUCGUUCUUAGUUCGUGGAUUGAUUUGUCUGGUCUAUUCCGAUAACGAGCGAGACCCCUCCGUUCCUACUAGGGGCGGCAGCCCGGCCUUCUUGCCUCACGGCGAGUCUGCUAGCAGCCGCUUAAGAAAUUACUUCUUAGACGUAUCAGGGCCGAUAAGGUCCUUGAAAUGGGUUAAUAACAGGUCAGUCAUGCCCUUAGAUGUUCUGGGCCGCACGCGCGUUACAAUGGUAUAAAUAGAACGUGCUCCUUUGGGGCUUCUCCGCGGCCGACGGGUCGCGGUAACCCCUAGUCUCUUCCUUGACUGGGACAGACUAUUGCAAUUAUUGGUCUCCAACGAGGAAUUUUUAGUAGUCGCAGGUCAUUAACCUGCGACGA